AGUGAACGCUGGCGGUAGGCCUAACACAUGCAAGUCGAACGGCAGCACAGUAAGAGCUUGCUCUUACGGGUGGCGAGUGGCGGACGGGUGAGGAAUACAUCGGAAUCUACUUUUUCGUGGGGGAUAACGUAGGGAAACUUACGCUAAUACCGCAUACGACCUACGGGUGAAAGCAGGGGAUCUUCGGACCUUGCGCGAUUGAAUGAGCCGAUGUCGGAUUAGCUAGUUGGCGGGGUAAAGGCCCACCAAGGCGACGAUCCGUAGCUGGUCUGAGAGGAUGACCAGCCACACUGGAACUGAGACACGGUCCAGACUCCUACGGGAGGCAGCAGUGGGGAAUAUUGGACAAUGGGCGCAAGCCUGAUCCAGCCAUACCGCGUGGGUGAAGAAGGCCUUCGGGUUGUAAAGCCCUUUUGUUGGGAAAGAAAAGCAGCAGGUUAAUACCCUGCUGUUCUGACGGUACCCAAAGAAUAAGCACCGGCUAACUUCGUG
rnacentral:rRNA from 1 species